GGGGAUGAAAUGGAUUCGACGGGAACGAAAGAGGUUUUGAAUUGCACGUCGGGUUUUCUAACACACCGUAAAAAUGUUAGAAAAACAAUUAAAUGCAGAUGAUAAUUAUUCAUACGCAAUGGCUGCUUAGUAUAACUAAAUAGUCGCAUGGCAGUUCGCCUGUAAAGGCUUGAGCGCCACGAUUUUAGAAAAUUUUGUCCUUUAGACUUUCUAAAAUUGUCAUAAAUUUAAAGGACUGGUUUCGACUUUGCUUCGGAGUUGGAAUGAGAUUUUUGAAGCUCGUUUUGUGAAUGGUGUUGGCACUUUGGACUUCACAAAAUUAAACUUUUCAAAUUGCCUAAGCGUGUAGAAGUUCAAAUGGUCUUGUUCUUGGACCAGGGUUCGAUUCCCUGCAUCUCCAUAA
rnacentral:tmRNA from 1 species